UACGUAGGUGGCAAGCGUUUGUCCGGAAUUAUUGGGCGUAAAGCGCGCGCAGGCGGUCCUUUAAGUCUGAUGUGAAAGCCCACGGCUCAACCGUGGAGGGUCAUUGGAAACUGGGGGACUUGAGUGCAGAAGAGGAAAGCGGAAUUCCACGUGUAGCGGUGGAAUGCGUAGAGAUCUCCAAGAACACCCGUUGCGAAGGCGCUAGCUGGGUUCACAUUGACGCUGAGGCUCGAAAGCGUGGGGAGCAAACAGG
rnacentral:rRNA from 1 species